rnacentral:misc_RNA from 1 species
CGAGAGAGUUUGCAAGAACUCCCCCAAACCCACUGUGAACAUACCUGUUAGUUUGCCUCGGCAGGCGGUCCCCGGGGGGGAUCUUCAGCGCGCUUCAGAGCGCGCGCCUGCCGCGAGGCCACUACAAACUCUGCUGUACCGGUCGUCUGAGAAUAAGAAGCCCGCUGAGAAGCAGGGUAAAUCUAGUCA